rnacentral:rRNA from 1 species
UACGUAGGGUGCAAGCGUUGUCCGGAAUUAUUGGGCGUAAAGAGCUCGUAGGCGGUGUGUCGCGUCGGCCGUGAAAACUGUGGCUUAACUAUGGGCUUGCGGUCGAUACGGGCAUCACUGGAGUUCGGCAGGGGAGACUGGAAUUCCUGGUGUAGCGGUGAAAUGCGCAGAUAUCAGGAGGAACACCGGUGGCGAAGGCGGGUCUCUGGGCCGAUGACUGACGCUGAGGAGCGAAAGCGUGGGGAGCGAACAGG